UUCACCCACAGCUACCAUGACUUUGAUCCCCGUCUUCAUCUGGACACUGAUCCUCUGGACUCGAGAAUGCAGAGGUCAAGUCACAGUAACUCAGACUCCUGCAGUGAAAUCUGCUCUUCCAGGAGAAACAGUCACCAUCAACUGUAGAACCAGUCAGGCAGUGUAUUAUGACAGCUCAUAUGGCCACUACUUAUACUGGUAUCAGCAGAAACCUGGAGAAGCUCCUAAACUCCUGAUUAAACUUGCGAAUCAGCGACAGUCAGGUUUUCCAGCUCGUUUCAGUGGCAGUGGAUCUGGAUCUGAUUUCACUCUGACCAUCAGUGGAGUCCAGACUGAAGAUGCAGCAGAUUAUUACUGUCAGAGUUACCAUUCUAUCUCUGGUUACUGGUUCACACAGUGUUAUAGAGUCAACACCUUCCUGUUUCUUGCUGACCUCUCACCCCAACUGCUGACUGGAUCCACGUUAAAGGAGAAACAGUCACCAUCAAGUGUAGAACCAGUCAGGCAGUGUAUUACUACAGCUCAAAUGGCCACUACUUACACUGGUAUCAGCAGAAACCUGGAGAAGCUCCUAAACUCCUGA